UACGUAGGGUGCGAGCGUUAAUCGGAAUUACUGGGCGUAAAGCGUGCGCAGGCGGCUUUUUAAGCCAGAUGUGAAAUCCCCGGGCUUAACCUGGGAACUGCAUUUGGAACUGGAAGGCUAGAGUGCGGCAGAGGGGGGUAGAAUUCCACGUGUAGCAGUGAAAUGCGUAGAGAUGCGGAGGAAUACCGAUGGCGAAGGCAGCCCCCUGGGUCGACACUGACGCUCAUGCACGAAAGCGUGGGGAGCAAACAGG
rnacentral:rRNA from 1 species